CCCUGAGUGGUGCAAUGGUUAAGGCAUUCAGCUGCUAACUCAAAGUUUGGUGGUUCAAGUCCACCCAGAGGCG
rnacentral:tRNA from 1 species